AACUAAGAAGUGAAGUAUUACAUCUAGUUUCGACCUAGAUUUUGGCCUAUCGAAAGCCCUUAGUUU
rnacentral:tRNA from 1 species